UGUACCAGUUGGAGUUCCAAAUAACCAACUAACCACUAGAAGAUCCAGCAGAAGGUGAAAACUCAAACAAGUUUAGGUGUCUGGGAUAGAAUUUUCUAAUGCAAGAAGAGUCAAACCAAUCUCUUUUUAUUUCCUGCAAACAGACUAUAGAAGCUACACUCUCUAAAAUUUUGUCGCUCAGCGCAUCCCAUUUAUGCUAAGAGUUAAUGCCUCUUAUGUUCCAGACAAGGAAAU
rnacentral:lncRNA from 1 species